rnacentral:rRNA from 1 species
AGAGUUUGAUCAUGGCUCAGAUUGAACGCUGGCGGCAGGCCUAACACAUGCAAGUCGAGCGGAUGAAGGGAGCUUGCUCCUGGAUUCAGCGGCGGACGGGUGAGUAAUGCCUAGGAAUCUGCCUGGUAGUGGGGGAUAACGUCCGGAAACGGGCGCUAAUACCGCAUACGUCCUGAGGGAGAAAGUGGGGGAUCUUCGGACCUCACGCUAUCAGAUGAGCCUAGGUCGGAUUAGCUAGUUGGUGGGGUAAAGGCCUACCAAGGCGACGAUCCGUAACUGGUCUGAGAGGAUGAUCAGUCACACUGGAACUGAGACACGGUCCAGACUCCUACGGGAGGCAGCAGUGGGGAAUAUUGGACAAUGGGCGAAAGCCUGAUCCAGCCAUGCCGCGUGUGUGAAGAAGGUCUUCGGAUUGUAAAGCACUUUAAGUUGGGAGGAAGGGCAGUAAGUUAAUACCUUGCUGUUUUGACGUUACCAACAGAAUAAGCACCGGCUAACUUCGUGCCAGCAGCCGCGGUAAUACGAAGGGUGCAAGCGUUAAUCGGAAUUACUGGGCGUAAAGCGCGCGUAGGUGGUUCAGCAAGUUGGAUGUGAAAUCCCCGGGCUCAACCUGGGAACUGCAUCCAAAACUACUGAGCUAGAGUACGGUAGAGGGUGGUGGAAUUUCCUGUGUAGCGGUGAAAUGCGUAGAUAUAGGAAGGAACACCAGUGGCGAAGGCGACCACCUGGACUGAUACUGACACUGAGGUGCGAAAGCGUGGGGAGCAAACAGGGUUAGAUACCCUGGUAGUCCACGCCGUAAACGAUGUCGACUAGCCGUUGGGAUCCUUGAGAUCUUAGUGGCGCAGCUAACGCGAUAAGUCGACCGCCUGGGGAGUACGGCCGCAAGGUUAAAACUCAAAUGAAUUGACGGGGGCCCGCACAAGCGGUGGAGCAUGUGGUUUAAUUCGAAGCAACGCGAAGAACCUUACCUGGCCUUGACAUGCUGAGAACUUUCCAGAGAUGGAUUGGUGCCUUCGGGAACUCAGACACAGGUGCUGCAUGGCUGUCGUCAGCUCGUGUCGUGAGAUGUUGGGUUAAGUCCCGUAACGAGCGCAACCCUUGUCCUUAGUUACCAGCACCUCGGGUGGGCACUCUAAGGAGACUGCCGGUGACAAACCGGAGGAAGGUGGGGAUGACGUCAAGUCAUCAUGGCCCUUACGGCCAGGGCUACACACGUGCUACAAUGGUCGGUACAAAGGGUUGCCAAGCCGCGAGGUGGAGCUAAUCCCAUAAAACCGAUCGUAGUCCGGAUCGCAGUCUGCAACUCGACUGCGUGAAGUCGGAAUCGCUAGUAAUCGUGAAUCAGAAUGUCACGGUGAAUACGUUCCCGGGCCUUGUACACACCGCCCGUCACACCAUGGGAGUGGGUUGCUCCAGAAGUAGCUAGUCUAACCGCAAGGGGGACGGUUACCACGGAGUGAUUCAUGACUGGGGUGAAGUCGUAACAAGGUA